UUAAAAUUUAUUUAUUAAUAAUUUUUUUAUUUAUUUUAUUAUAUUAAAAAUAAUUGUAAAUUUUUUUAUUUUAGUAAUUUAUAAAGAAAAAAUAAUUUUUAUAAUAGUUUAUUAGUAUUGUAAAAAAAAAUUGAAAUAAUAUGAAAAAUUUUUGUUUUAAAAGUAAAUUUAAUUUAUUGUACCUUGUGUAUCAGGGUUUAUUAAUUUAAAAAUAAAGUUUUAUUUUUCUCGAAUUUAAAAGAGUUAUUAAAUUAUUAAAGUUAAUGUAAUAAAAUUAUUUUAAAUAAUUUAAUAGAAAUGAAAAGUUAUUCGUUUUUAAAUAUAUCUAGUUUUUUAAGAAAUGAAUUUAAUUCAGAAUUUUAAAAUGUAUAAGUUUUAUUUUAUAAACUUAUAUUUUUAUAAUUUAAUAUUUUAUGGGAUAAGCUAUAAAAUAAAUAAUUAAAAAUUUUUUUAAUAUUAUAUAAAUAUAUGUUUAGAAUUAGCAAUUAUUAAUAAUUUUGUUAUAAAUUAUUUAUACAAUUAUAUUAUUUAAUUUAUUUUAAGUUUUUAUUAAAAUUUUAAUUUUAAUUUUGAAAAUUAAGUAAUAAUGAUAAAAUUAGUAUAUAUUAUUGUAAUAAUAAAUUUAUAUGAUAAGUUUUUAUAAAGAACUCGGCAAAUUUAAUGUUCGCCUGUUUAACAAAAACAUGUCUUUUUGAAAUAAAUAAAAAGUCUGACCUGCCCAUUGAUAAAAUUUAACGGCCGCAGUAUAUUAACUGUGCAAAGGUAGCAUAAUCAUUAGUCUUUUAAUUGAAGGCUGGAAUGAAUGGUUGGACGAAAUAUUAACUGUUUCAUAUAAAUUUAUAAUAGAAUUUAAUAUUUUAGUCAAAAAGCUAAAAUAAUUUUAAAAGACGAGAAGACCCUAUAAAUCUUUAUAUUUUAUAUAAAAUUGAUUUUAUAGAUAAUUUUUAUUAUUUUUAUGUAAAAUAUUUUAUUGGGGUGAUAGUAAAAUUUAAUAAACUUUUAUUUUAUUUUUUACAUUAAUUUAUGAAUAUUUGAUCCAUUUUUAAUGAUUAAAAAAUUAAGUUACUUUAGGGAUAACAGCGUAAUAUUUUUGGAGAGUUCUUAUUGAUAAAAAUGAUUGCGACCUCGAUGUUGGAUUAAGAUAUAAUUUUAGGUGUAGAAGCUUAAAUUUUAAGUCUGUUCGACUUUUAAAUUCUUACAUGAUCUGAGUUCAAACCGGUGUGAGCCAGGUUGGUUUCUAUCUUUAAUAAAUUAAAAUAUUUUAGUACGAAAGGACCAAAUAUUUAAAUAAUAUAUUUUUUAUAUUGAAUUUAAUUAAUUUAU
rnacentral:rRNA from 1 species